UUUUUGGACUGAGGGGGGUAAGAAAUAAGCAGAAGUGCAAAACUUUAGCGCCUCUUUCUACUUCGGUCCGUUGCAUACAAACCGAAACUCUAUAGCCAUGGUCAUGUAGCAUUAGACACAGUCUUGAGCUUUCAUUCCAAAGUGAAAGAUGACAAUAAUUACCAAAAUACCCAAAUUCAAAUCCUUAAAAGAAACAGACACUAAUUAUCUUUUAUGGCCACCAAAGUUUUCUUCACUGCCUUCAUUUUUACAACACUAUAUCAAUUCAGACACUCCUAUUUACGGCCAAAAGAUCCAUUCAUAUAUUAUUAAAACUGGGUAUAAACCCAAUACUAAUAUAUGUAUUAAACUUCUAAUACUUCAUUUAAAAUCAUCUUGUCUUUUUUAUGCACGCCAAGUGUUCGAUGAAAUGCCUCAACCAACUCUUUCUGCUUAUAAUUACAUGAUUUCUGGUUAUGUAAAACAUGGGUUUGUCUUAGAAUCUUUUAAUAUUGUUAGAAAGCUGUGUUUUUCAGGUGAAAAACCUGAUGGUUUUACGCUAUCGAUGAUCUUGAAGGGGUCUACAAAUAGCAAUGCUGAAGCAUAUUCGCGAUAUAUUGGAAAACAGGUUCAUGCCCGGAUAUUUAAAUGUGUCGUUGAGGGUGAUGAUGUGCUUUAUACGGCGUUGGUUGAUUCGUAUGUGAAGAGUGGGAGAGUGGAUUAUGCGAGGAGAGUGUUUGAUUUGAUGUUGGAAAGGAAUGUAGUUUGUUCCACGUCGUUGAUAACGGGGUAUAUGAAUCAGGGCUGUAUUGAGGAUGCUGAGGAUGUGUUUAGUAAAACAAUGGAGAAAGACGUUGUGGUGUUUAAUGCAAUGAUUGAAGGUUAUAGUAAAAAGGUUGAAAAUGCUAAGAAGGCAAUUGAGGUUUAUAUCGACAUGCAACGUUUUGGUUUUAGGCCGAAUAUUUCAACUUUUGCAAGUAUUAUUGGUGCUUGUUCUGCUCUAGUAUCAUUUGAAAUUGGUCAACAAGUUCAAGGACAGUUAAUGAAGACUGAAUUAAUUGAACUUGUGAAAAUUGGAAGUGCUUUAAUUGACAUGUAUUCGAAGUGUGGAUGGGUUGAGGAUGCGAGAAGAGUCUUUAACCACAUGCCUGAGAAGAAUGUCUUUUCAUGGACUUCGAUGAUUGACGGAUAUGGAAAAAACGGGUAUCCAAAUGAGGCACUUGAACUAUUUAGUAUAAUGCAAAUAGAUCAUCUCGUUGUUCCAAACUAUGUUACAUUUCUAAGUGCUCUCUCUGCUUGUGCACAUUCGGGGUUAGUUGCUAAAGGAAGAGAGAUUUUCGAUAGCAUGGAAAGAGAUUACUCUAUGAAGCCAAGGAUGGAGCAUUAUGCUUGCAUGGUUGAUAUCUUGGGCCGCUCAGGGAGCUUAAAUCAGGCAUUAGAGUUUGUGAUUAAUAUGACUGAAAGGCCAGAUUCUGAUGUUUGGGCAGCUUUACUCAGUUCUUGUAGACUGCAUGGAGAUGUGGAAUUGGCUAAUUUAGCUGCCGAUGAGCUUUUCAAGCUGAGUAGUAGCAGUCGUCCAGGGGCAUAUGUUGCACUAUCUAAUGCUCUAGCAGAUGCUGGGAGAUGGGACGGUGUGAGUGAACUUAGGGAGAUUAUGAAGAUUAGAGGAGUAUCAAAAGGCACAGGCUUCAGUUGGGUGGGCAGUGAUGGCAGUUUGAAAGCUUUCUUUGCGGGAGAACAAACUUAAAUAAAGGUCAUGGUAGCAUGAUUUCACUUGUUUUUUUUACGAAGUGUUUUCACUCAGUUAAUCUGAUAACUUGUGUAUUUUUUAUAUACAGUUUAAAAUCUCUUGACACUCGUAGUUCACGAUAAAGAAAGGCAUUGUUUCCAACCUGUACCCACUUAAUCAUGCUGAACAGGAAUAUAGAAAAUUGAUAUGUGACUAGGUGAAAAUACCCAAAGGAAAAUAUACCUAUUCAGCUACAUGGUUUAGCUUUCUUCAUCCUUGUACAACAACAACAGCAACAACAACAUACCCAGUGAAAUCACACAAUGUGGGGUCUGGGGAGGGUAAAGUGUACGCAGACCAUACCCCUAUCUCAGAAGAUAGGGAGGCUGUUUCUGAAAGACCCUCGGCUCAAGAGAAUUCUUCAUCCUUGUACGAGGAUUCAAAUUUGUUUCUAUCUUCUUAAAGGAUUCAAUCCUUCUAUUGUUCAACAACAACAUACCCAGUGAAAUCCUUAUAUUGUUCGAUCUUUUAAAUUCAAGUCUUCCACUAUUCAUGCUCAUGUUAAAAAGGGCAGCGCGGUGCACAAAGCAUCCCACGUCAGCAUGGUCCGGUGCACAAACCAUCCAAGUGUCAGGGAGUGGAGGAAUAAUUUGUUCAUAGUCAAAUCAUGCUACUAGAGUCUGCUAGUGAGAGAGGAGUCCACUUUCCCGCAUUAUCGAUCAGGAUCCCCAAGGCACCCAGGAAAGCAUGUUUCAUUGCUUGGUUGGCAGCUAAGGAAGAGAUAUUGGCAACGGGGAAUCUAAGGAAGAGGAGGAUUACUAUAUUAAUUGGUGCUUCUUGGGCAGAUGUUCAGGUGAAAAUAUAGAUCAUCUCCAGUUGCAUUGCCAGAUGGCAGCACGUUUGUAGUGGGUGGUCCUCAAUUGGUUUGGUGUACAAUGUGUGAUGCCGUGCACAGUGAAGGAAGUGUUGCAUACUUGCAUAUCUGGGCCUUCAAAAUGAGGAAGAGAAGAGAUAGGGCAUGGAUUGUUCCGAUAGCUUUUAUGUGGGUAACAUGGAUGGAGAGUAAUAGGAGAGCAUUUAAAGGGGUUGAGAUUGAUAUCUGUUUCUAGUUUCCUUUUGGUGCACCACAAGGUCCCUGUGUGUGUAGAUGAUUGGUGUCCUUUGUAGAGAAUCAUACUUUUGUGUAGGUUGUCUACUUUUUGAUAUAUGACUUCUAUACAGGGUUUCACCAUUAAUAAAAUUGUUUGCCUUGUUGGAAAAAAGUUGCUAUUUGAGCUAGGUCGGACAUCUAAGAUUGCCAUGUGCGAGAAGAGGUUGUCAGCUGAAAAUAGGCCAUCGUGAGACUAUUGGAAACCUAUUCAUACCAAAUCAAAGGCAGAUACUUAAAUGUUGGACUGCCUGACCAAGUGGAGUGUGUUUUCAUUUGUUAAAGCUUUUUUCCAUUCUAUUGAGCUUCAGAAUCAAUAGCCAGUGAAGGUAUCUGUAUGCAAGCAAAGCUGUCCUUGCGGCUAGAUUUUGUGGAAAUUGAUUUGUGGAACUAAAUUCUUAAUUCUGUGCUAUGCUUGGAAGUUGGAAUUGCUCUCUCAUUAUUGUGAAGUUGUCAAGAAGACAAAGCUUGACAAGAGUUACAUGUGACCUUGCAAAAGGGCAGUGCUACCAUCAAAAUACUGGUGUUUUGUGUAUAAAGUUUGUCGUUGGAGUUCUAGUUUGUUUACAGUGGGAAAUGUUUUCGAGAAUCGGGUGAUACUAAUCGUAGUUAUAAGUUAUUAGCACCCAAGGGUGUGGCGAAAUGGUUAAUGGAGUGGGUCGAGAAACAUGAAACAACUUCAGCAGAGGCAAAAACACUAGAUUAUUUCUACCUGUGUUCAAACCUUGGUGGAUUAAGUUACCCGAUACCUAUGCUGGUGGGAGGCCGUCAGGUACCCGUGGAAUAAGUCGAGAUAGUCAGUGUCACUUAACGUCCGAGCUACAAGUAUCUUGCAUGAACUGAUCCUCUUCACAAGAUCUUAUAUACACAUAAAUGAGAUAGCUGGGAAGUCCUAUCAAGAAAAUUGAUCAAUCUCUAUUCUCCUGCCCACCGGUCACCAGGUCUCGCUAUCAGGUCUCUAGCAAUGGAGCUUUCAUCUUCAAUCCCAGUUAACUAGUCACUGUGCCAUCUGUUUCAUGGAGGAAAUUUCUCAUUAGACUCGAGGCACAGGUAACCAUCCCCACACCUAUGAUGUUAACCUUAGCCUUGGAAAUAUGAAUAUGUGCGGGUCUCUUUCUUCUUUAUUAUUAUAGUCCAUAAGGACUACUAUAUCCAACCCCUGAAAAAAGCCGAUGUAUGUAAAGUACCUUUUAAAACCCUUAUUCACUGUUGAUAGGACCAUUAUCAUUUAUGCCUAGGAGAGAGGGUUAAUCAAUAAGCACCUUGUAAAAUUUGCAAGUUGUCAUUGAAUUGAAUAUGCAGGAAUUGGCUCUUCAUUUUUCUUUUUUGUUUUUGUAAACACAAAGUCUACAUCAAUCUGAUCUGAUGGUCAUUAAUGAGUUCUUUUUUCUGA